rnacentral:snoRNA from 1 species
GCAUGGCAAUGGAUUUAUGGUCGGGUUAUUCUGUACCCUCCCAUAGUGUACUCCAUGCUAAAGUGAGUAGCUGCUCCGAACCAUUGACAAGCCUGAAUGCUCGUGGGCCUGUUCUCUGAUGUGGGCUGCACAUUC